CCUACGGGGGGCUGCAGUGGGGAAUAUUGGACAAUGGGGGGAACCCUGAUCCAGCCAUGCCGCGUGUGUGAAGAAGGCCCUCGGGUUGUAAAGCACUUUCAGUGAGGAAGAACGCCUGGUGGUUAAUACCCAUCAGGAAAGACAUCACUCACAGAAGAAGCACCGGCUAACUCCGUGCCAGCAGCCGCGGUAAUACCGAGGGUGCGAGCGUUAAUCGGAAUUACUGGGCGUAAAGCGCGCGUAGGUGGCUUGAUAAGCCGGUUGUGAAAGCCCCGGGCUCAACCUGGGAACGGCAUCCGGAACUGUCAAGCUAGAGUGCAGGAGAGGAAGGUAGAAUUCCCGGUGUAGCGGUGAAAUGCGUAGAGAUCGGGAGGAAUACCAGUGGCGAAGGCGGCCUUCUGGACUGACACUGACACUGAGGUGCGAAAGCGUGGGUAGCAAACAGGAUUAGAUACCCCUGUAGUC
rnacentral:rRNA from 1 species